rnacentral:rRNA from 1 species
UACGUAGGGUGCAAGCGUUGUCCGGAAUUAUUGGGCGUAAAGAGCUCGUAGGCGGUCUGUCGCGUCGGCUGUGAAAUCCCGAGGCUCAACCUCGGGUCUGCAGUCGAUACGGGCAAACUAGAGUAUUGCAGGGGAGACUGGAAUUCCUGGUGUAGCGGUGAAAUGCGCAGAUAUCAGGAGGAACACCGGUGGCGAAGGCGGUUCUCUGGGCAUGUCCUGACGCUGAGGAGCGAAAGUGUGGGGAGCAAACAGG